AAGGAAAGUUGUCUGGCAUGUUGAUUCCUCUCUGUCAAGGAGGCAGCAGUGGGGUCAAGGUGACAACUGGAACUGGAGCUACUCCUCCUGCCAACUGGCCAGAUUUAGGCCAGCAAGAGGACUCCCUCAAAUCAGGCUUCUGGCCAUGGAGUCCAAGGGCUUCCCUUAGGAGAGGCCAGCAGAAGCACAUUUCUCUGACUUCUGAUCUCCUUCCUGUUGUUGCAAGAGUGUCUUAUAAAACACAAUGCAAUCAGGGGAGUGACUGUCUCACCAUCAUUUGCCAAGCGAUCAAAAGGAGGGGAUUCACCAAGCCACACCUGGAGCAGGAUUUUUAGCUUUUCACCCAAUUAAAAACCAGUCAGGCCACGCCCAUUAGAAUGGUUCUUUGAGGGACAUUGAAGCCCAAGGGAGUGCCUAUCAAAAAAAAAAAGAAAAGAAAAGGAAGAAAGAAAAUAACAAGUGCUGGUGAGGAUGUGGAGGAAUUGGAAACUUUGUGCAUUGCUGGUGGGAAUGUAAAAUGGUACAGUGCCGUGAAAAACAGUAUAGCCGUUCCUCACCAAAUUAAAUGGAAUUACUAUAUGACCCAACAAUUCCACUUCUGGUAUAUACCCAAAGAAAUUGAAAG